UUCCGGUUGAUCCUGCCAGAGGUUACUGCUAUCGGUGUUCGCCUAAGCCAUGCGAGUCAUAUGUAGCAAUACAUGGCGUACUGCUCAGUAACACGUGGAUAACCUGCCCUUGGGACCGGCAUAACCCCGGGAAACUGGGGAUAAUUCCGGAUAACGCAUAUUUGCUGGAAUGCUUUAUGCGUCAAAAGGAUUCGUCUGCCCAAGGAUGGGUCUGCGGCCUAUCAGGUAGUAGUGGGUGUAAUGUACCUACUAGCCAGCGACGGGUACGGGUUGUGAGAGCAAGAGCCCGGAGAUGGAUUCUGAGACAUGAAUCCAGGCCCUACGGGGCGCAGCAGGCGCGAAAACUUUACAAUGCGGGAAACCGUGAUAAGGGGACACCGAGUGCCAGCAUCAUAUGCUGGCUGUCCGGAUGUGUAAAAUACAUCCGUUAGCAAGGGCCGGGCAAGACCGGUGCCAGCCGCCGCGGUAACACCGGCGGCCCGAGUGGUGAUCGUGAUUAUUGGGUCUAAAGGGUCCGUAGCCGGUUUGGUCAGUCCUCCGGGAAAUCUGAUAGCUUAACUAUUAGGCUUUCGGGGGAUACUGCCAGACUUGGAACCGGGAGAGGUAAGAGGUACUACAGGGGUAGGAGUGAAAUCUUGUAAUCCCUGUGGGACCACCUGUGGCGAAGGCGUCUUACCAGAACGGGUUCGACGGUGAGGGACGAAAGCUGGGGGCACGAACCGGAUUAGAUACCCGGGUAGUCCCAGCCGUAAACGAUGCUCGCUAGGUGUCAGGCAUGGCGCGACCGUGUCUGGUGCCGCAGGGAAGCCGUGAAGCGAGCCACCUGGGAAGUACGGCCGCAAGGCUGAAACUUAAAGGAAUUGGCGGGGGAGCACAACAACGGGUGGAGCCUGCGGUUUAAUUGGAUUCAACGCCGG
rnacentral:rRNA from 1 species